GAUGAAGAACGUAGCGAAAUGCGAUAAGUAAUGUGAAUUGCAGAAUUCAGUGAAUCAUCGAAUCUUUGAACGCACCUUGCGCCCUUUGGCCAUUCCGAAGGGCAUGCCUGUUUGAGUAUCAUGAACACCUCAACUCUCAUGGCUUGCCAUGAUGAGCUUGGACUUUUGGGGGUCUUGCUGGCCUGCGGUCAGCUCCUCUCAAAUGAAUUAGCUUUCCAGUGUUUGGUUGGCAUCACAGGUGUGAUAACUAUCUACGCUUGUGGUUUCCACCAGGUAACCUUCAGUAACAUGGGGGUUUGCUGGAGCUCAUAACUGUCUCUCCUCAGUGGGGACAGCUCUUUGAACGUUUGAUCUCAAAUCAGGUAGGACUACCCGCUGAACUUAAGCAUAUCAAUAAGCGGAGGA
rnacentral:misc_RNA from 1 species